rnacentral:misc_RNA from 1 species
UUAAGUUCAGCGGGUAGUCUUACCUGAUUUGAGGUCAAAAUUGUCAAGAGUUGUCCCAGAAGGACGGUUAGAAGCAGGUCUUUAACAGCCAUCCAAAUCCACGGCGUAGAUAAUUAUCACACCAAUAGAUUAGGGGACUAACCCACUAAUGCAUUUCAGAGGAGCAGACCACGUAUGUGAGCCUGCAGCCCCCACGUCCA